rnacentral:rRNA from 1 species
UGAGGAAUUGUGCGCAAUGGGCGAAAGCCUGACGCCGCGACACCGCGUGAGGGAAGAAGCUUUUCGGAGUGUAAACCUCUUUUCUGAAGGACGAUUAUGACGGUACUUUAGGAAUAAGCCACGGCUAACUUCGUGCCAGCAGCCGCGGUAAUACGAAGGUGGCAAGCGUUAUCCGGAUUUAUUGGGCGUAAAGAGCAUGUAGGCGGUUUAAUAAGUCUUGGUUUAAAGCCCACUGCUCAACAGUGGAACCAAUCAAGAUACUGCUAAACUAGUGAAUAGCAGGGGUGAGCGGAAUUGACGGUGUAGGAGUUAAAUCCAUUGAUAUCGUCAAGAACACCAAUGGCGAAGGCAGCUCACUAGGUUAUUUCAGACGCUGAGAUGCGAAAGCGUGGGUAGCGAACGGG